CUCGUAGUAAGCAUUUCACUUUAAGGUUGUAUUCGGCGCAUGUGACUAAUAACAUUUGAUUUGAUUGGUUAACUCCGCUGUCUUCCGGGUAAAGCGAGCAGUGUGUCAAGAAGCAGCGCGUCUUGGCUCUCGACCUUUGCAGAGUCCAUAGUGGAGUUUCAGCGAUGAGACAGGAUCCUAUCUACUGAUUGUAUAUCACGAAAAAGGCGGUAACUCCAUGGCCAGAAAAGUUUGAAAACAUUGGCCAUGCUGUCAAUCCAGCAAUACUUCUGCCGCGUUCAAAACAACUGGAAACUCAGAACUGCAAAAUCUCAGACUUCAGUGAGUUCAAGACAAUUGGGAACUCGGAUAAAACUAGCUCCUACUGGGAAAAUACGUAAAAUAAUUUUGAGCGGUCAUCCAACUCAGAAUUCCAAGUUGGGAUUUAGGGACUCUUUCUAGAGCCCACAAGAAGGACCGCUUCGCCACCUUCCUGUUCAAGUGAGCACAGCACAACAAGGAGCUGGCUGGCGCGUCUAUUUUAAGUGGUCAUGAAACCCAAUGGCGUGUAAUGGACAGCUGGAACUUGGCGUCGGAUUUCUCCCAGAAUCCUUGGUCGCCGGGCCACCACGCCUCACAUGCGAAUCCCUCAGAACUCUAACUUGUGGGGAAGAAAGGAGAACAAAAGCAACAUUACGACUCCCUCUGGUCAAAGCACCAAAACCCUUCAUCAAGUUCUGGAAGGAGCACCAGUCCAGUCCAUGGCAAAGGGCUGCAGUAGCCUACCCCUGGGGGCUGAGAAGGCCCAAAUCCUACAGAGUCAUUACUCUAAAUUAGCCCUUUCAGAGCCAGUCAGAGCCUAAGCAUCCACUCACACUCACUGCAAUGUGCUGGACCUGGGCCACAGCAAUGGAGAGAUGGGGUAGUCGCCAAACCAACCACCAACCGCCCAAAUCACAGUUUGAUCCCUCCAUUAUCACAUUAACCCUGGCUAAUUGGAAAAUACGGGUUCCCCUGAGGGGCGGGGGGGGGGCUGGGUGGCCAGGUCUUAUCAUACAGAAAC
rnacentral:lncRNA from 1 species